UGAAAUAAUUUUUGAACUCUAGGGUUUCGGAUUUUGAGAAAUUUUACCGCUUUGAGUUUAUGUUUCCCAGAGAUUGGAGAUUUGCUGGACUUUUCAUAGUGUUUCAAAAUAUGGUGUAUAUUGGUAUAUGAUUAUAGUAGCACUUGAUCUUGUAUUUCACUUCUUCCUUCUUGGAAUGUUUCUAGGGAAUUUUCGGAAGUUUCAU
rnacentral:lncRNA from 1 species